rnacentral:rRNA from 1 species
UUUCCGGUUGAUCCUGCCGGACCUGACUGCUAUCGGAUUGAUACUAAGCCAUGCGAGUCUUUGUAGUAAUACAAGGCAGACGGCUCAGUAACACGUAGUCAACCUACCCUAAGGACGAGAAUAAUCUCGGGAAACUGAGCAUAAUUCUCGAUAGAUCAUAAUGCCUGGAAUGGUUUAUGGUUAAAAUGAUUCGUCGCCAUAGGAUGGGACUGCGGCCUAUCAGCUUGUUGGUGAGGUAAUGGCCCACCAAGGCGAUUACAGGUACGGGCUCUGAGAGGAGAAGCCCGGAGAUGGGUACUGAGACACGGACCCAGGCCCUAUGGGGCGCAGCAGGCGAGAAAACUUUGCAAUGUGCGAAAGCACGACAAGGUUAAUCCGAGUGAUUUCUGCUAAAGAAAUCUUUUGUCAGUCAUAAAACCACUGACGAAUAAGGGGUGGGCAAGUUCUGGUGUCAGCCGCCGCGGUAAAACCAGCACCUCAAGUGGUCAGGAUGAUUAUUGGGCCUAAAGCAUCCGUAGCCGGCUUUGUUAGUUUUCGGUUAAAUCCAUGUGCUCAACACAUGGGCUGCCGAAAAUACUGCAUGGCUAGGGAGUGGGAGAGGUAGACGGUACUCAGUAGGAAGGGGUAAAAUCCUUUGAUCUAUUGAUGACCACCUGUGGCGAAGGCGGUCUACCAGAACACGUUCGACGGUGAGGGAUGAAAGCU